CGUUUCCCCAAUGAUUUUCAUCGGUUUCGUGAAAAGAGUCAUUGCGAGCAAUGUGGCGUACCGAAAUUUUUAUCCAGUCCAACGCGGAUCUAUCGUCCCAUAAUAACUUUUCAUCUUUGUUUUACCGUCAGCAAGGUGUUUUUUUCAAAUAAGUCGUGACUUUUCUCUUGUUCUACCGUCAACAAGGUGCUUGUCCGCAGUUCUUCGGAUUGCAAAUCGUCUGUCGUUCUUCGUCAGAAAGGUGAUCGUUCUUCAUCCACCAUUCUUCGUCGGCAAGGGUUGCAUAUCAAGAUGUGUAGAUAGUGUAGCAUGGUCAGACAUGGAGGAAGAAACAUUUAUAAUGUUGAUGGUUGAAAUGGUAAGGGCCAAUAACAGGCCUACAGGAACAUUCACAGGAAGAUUUACCAUCAUCACAAGUUCAAAAACAAGUUUCAUGCACUAAAGAAGAGAUGAUCAGAGCAUUUGUCUCUUAUUAACCACACUGGCUUUGCAAUGGACCCACUGACAGUGACGCCUACUGCCAGUGAAGAAGUGUGGGAUGAAUUAUGCAAAAAUAAUAGAUGGGCUAAGAAGUAUUGAACGAAAGUUUAUCAUCACUGGGAUGAAUUUCAUUAUAUUUUUUAGGGGACACAUGCAACUAGUGAGCACGGGUAUAGUAAUGAUGAAGACUCAUACAUUGUGGUUGAGCAAUCACAACAUGUGCACUCUUCACCCACAUUUAGCAACGAAGAGCAUGGACCGCCAUAUACAAGUGAAUCUCAAGCUAGUUCGAACAUUGUAGAUGUUGGCGGCAAUGUCACAUCUACACAAGGGGGAGACAGGCACAAAAGAGUUGGCAACCCCCCUUCAUCCAUGAGGAAAGGAAAGAAGAUUUGUUUGCCGCCAAGCAUUGAGAAAGCCCUUGGUAAUUGGGUGGAAGCUAGUAAGCUAAAUUAUGAGAUGCAAAAGGAACGUAUGGAGGUAGUAACUGACACUGGAAACUUGGAGACAUGCAUACAGAUGCUUAAUGACGUGUUCUGAGUCCACGUCUUACCCGCUACUUGCUACGUCAAGGCAACAAAGUUGUUUCAAGAGGACCACUGAAGGCGGUCCUCCAUUACACUGGAUCCAAAUUUGAGGGCUACAUGGCUUAAUGCCUUGGCUGAGGAUGAGAACUGGGAAAAGAGCUUCUUUGAUUAGCCUUAGUUGUUCACAUGUCUUUGUUUGUUUUUUGAGACAUAAAACUUUGUUAACUUAACAUUACUUGAGUUGUAAUGCACUCUGUGUUUUUAUGGAGUUUUUUAUGAACUUUUGUUAAAUGGAAUGCUUUAUGCCUUAUGGAUUGCUUUUUGAUAGCAA